rnacentral:rRNA from 1 species
GACGAACGCUGGCGGCGUGCCUAAUACAUGCAAGUCGAGCGCAGGAAACCGUCUGAACCCUUCGGGGGGACGACGGCGGAAUGAGCGGCGGACGGGUGAGUAACACGUAAAGAACCUGCCCACGGGUCUGGGAUAACCACGAGAAAUCGGGGCUAAUACCGGACGGGUCAUCGGACCGCAUGGUCCGAGGAUGAAAGGCGCUCCGGCGUCGCCCGUGGAUGGCUUUGCGGUGCAUUAGCCAGGUGGUGGGGUAACGGCCCACCAAGGCGGCGAUGGAGAGCCGGACUGAGAGGGUGAUCGGCCACACUGGGAAUGAGACACGGCCCAUACUCAUACGGGAGGCAGCAGUAGGGAAUCUUCCACAAUGGACGAAAGUCUGAUGGAGCAACGCCGCGUGAACGAUGAAGGCCCUCGGGUCGUAAAGUUCUGUUGUAAGGGAAGAACAAGUGCCGCAGGCAAUGGCGGCACCUUGACGGUACCUUGCGAGAAAGCCACGGCUAACUACGUGCCAGCCGCCGCCGUAAAAC